CAUCACAUUCUAGAGGGAAGGUAUUAAGACUAGGAAGUGAACAACUAACAAGUCUUAGAAGUUCCUGACACUUACAAGGUCCCUUCUUCCCCAAGGACAUGUAAACAGGAAGAGAGCCCAUGCUCUGACCUUUGUUGAGGUGCUAGAGCUCCAGGAUUCCAGCUUUUGGGAGCCAUCAUCCAUGCUGGGGUUUUUGGUGAUACAGCUGCCUUUGAGUUUUCUCUGAUCCUCAUAUAUCAAAGACCAGCAUCUCUUCAGAAACCUUCCAGGACUCCAGCACCAGAUUGGGGCUGUGGAGACAUCCAAUCUUGUGGACUAGACAACUACCAGAUUCUUGCCUUUCCACUGGAAGAUUGCUGUUGUUGGAAUAUCUGGACCACAGCCUAUCCAGGGAAAUAAUCAUAGAAUGGAAUUGGGGACCUAUGGGCUCACAGUGAGAUGGACCAGACUGAACACUCUGUGGAUCUUCUUACCUGUGUUUCCAGAGAGGUCUAACCCAGCAGGAGUGAGAACCUUCCAGCAGGUGAGCCAGUACAGAAAAGCCUAAAGAAAAAGCAGUGUUGGCUGCCUGCCUUCCCUUGGUCUGGAGCCAGUGCUUGGCUCUGCUGCCACUGUCCUUUUCUGAUGUCAGACUCAAGCUUCUUCAGCCUUCUUCCAACACGACCUGAACACUAGUGACUCUCCAGGAAUCUUCCAGACCUUCGGCACCAGGUUGGGACUGCUGAGGUGAUCAACUUUGUGGACUAAACAGCAUCUCUAGUGUUGUUUCUCCAGUUCUGCGAGGUGUUGAGAAUCUGCUUGUCUGACACCCAGAAGUGAGGCACCAAUCCCACCCACACUUGAGAAGUGAGCAAGCCAUCUGGUGUUCCUGGUGCUGCAGCUGUGAGUGACCCCCAUUGCCACGAUGGACUGGGAGCCCACCCAAAUCGUUCCUUCCUCCAGUUGUUUCUACCCAGCAUUUUGUCACAGCAAACAGUUCCUUAAGGAAACAGCGGUCUCUGACUUGGAAUCUUUAUUCUGUUCUAACACAUUAUUGAGUGCUUUGACUUUUUAAGGGUAAGAAGCAUAUAUU